UAGAUACUCCCUCCGUCCGAAAAUACUUGUCAUCAAAAUGGAUAAAAAGGGAUGUAUUUAGAACUAAAAUACAUCUAGAUACAUCCCCUUUUAUUCAUUUUGAUGACAAGUAUUUUCGGACGGAGGGAGUACAUU
rnacentral:pre_miRNA from 1 species